rnacentral:rRNA from 1 species
UACAGAGGUCCCAAGCGUUGUUCGGAUUCACUGGGCGUAAAGGGUGCGUAGGUGGCCUGUCGCGUCGGCUGUGAAAACUCGGGGCUCAACUCCGAGCUUGCAGUCGAUACGGGCAGGCUAGAGUUCGGCAGGGGAGACUGGAAUUCCUGGUGUAGCGGUGAAAUGCGCAGAUAUCAGGAGGAACACCGAUGGCGAAGGCAGGUCUCUGGGCCAUUACUGACACUGAGAAGCGAAAGCAUGGGGAGCGAACAGG